rnacentral:rRNA from 1 species
UGCUAUCGGAUUGAUACUAAGCCAUGCGAGUCAUUGUAGUAAUACAAGGCAGACGGCUCAGUAACGCGUAGUCAACCUACCCUAUGGACGGGAAUAACCUCGGGAAACUGAGAAUAAUGCCCGAUAGAACACUAUACCUGGAAUGGUUUGUGUUUCAAAUGAUUUAUCGCCGUAGGAUGGGACUGCGGCCUAUCAGUUUGUUGGUGAGGUAAUGGCCCACCAAGACUAUUACAGGUACGGGCUCUGAGAGGAGUAGCCCGGAGAUGGGUACUGAGACACGGACCCAGGCCCUAUGGGGCGCAGCAGGCGAGAAAACUUUGCAAUGUGCGAAAGCACGACAAGGUUAAUCCGAGUGGUUUCUGCUAAAGGAACCUUUUGACAGUCCUAGAAACACUGUUGAAUAAGGGGUGGGCAAGUUCUGGUGUCAGCCGGCGCGGUAAAACCAGCACCUCAAGUGGUCAGGAUGAUUAUUGGGCCUAAAGCAUCCGUAGCCCGCUCUGUUAGUUUUCGGUUAAAUCUGUACGCUCAACGUACAGGGCUGCCGGGAAUACUGCAGAGCUAGGGAGUGGGAGAGGUAGACGGUACUCGGUAGGAAGGGGUAAAUAUCCCUGUGAAUCUAAUUGA